rnacentral:rRNA from 1 species
GAUGAACGCUGGCGGCGUGCCUAAUACAUGCAAGUCGAGCGAACGGACGAGAAGCUUGCUUCUCUGAGGUUAGCGGCGGACGGGUGAGUAACACGUGGAUAACCUACCUAUAAGACUGGGAUAACUUCGGGAAACCGGAGCUAAUACCGGAUAAUAUUUUGAACCGCAUGGUUCAAAAGUGAAAGACGGUCUUGCUGUCACUUAUAGAUGGAUCCGCGCUUCAUUAGCUAGUUGGUAAGGUAACGGCUUACCAAGGCAACGAUGCAUAGCCGACCUGAGAGGGUGAUCGGCCACACUGGAACGGAGACCCGGUCCAGACUCCUACGGGAGGCAGCAGUAGGGAAUCUUCCGCAAUGGGCGAAAGCCUGACGGAGCAACGCCGCGUGAGUGAUGAAGGUCUUCGGAUCGUAAAACUCUGUUAUUAGGGAAGAACAUAUGUGUAAGUAACUGUGCACAUCUUGACGGUACCUAAUCAGAAAGCCACGGCUAACUACGUG